UUUUUGAAUUUCUCGGUGCUG
ensembl:piRNA 21ur-6758 ncRNA